rnacentral:rRNA from 1 species
UACGUAGGGUGCGAGCGUUGUCCGGAAUCAUUGGGCGUAAAGCGCGUGUAGGCGGCCCGGUAAGUCCGCUGUGAAAGUCCAGGGCUCAACCCUGGGAUGCCGGUGGAUACUGUCGGGCUCGAGUCCGGAAGAGGCGAGUGGAAUUCCUGGUGUAGGCGGUGAAAUGACGCAGAUAUCAGGAGGAACACCAAUGGCGAAGGCAGCUCGCUGGGACGUGACUGACGCUGAGACGCGAAAGCGUGGGGAGCAAACAGG